CAGCCGCCGCGGUAAUACAGAGGGUGCGAGCGUUGUUCGGAAUCACUGGGCGUAAAGGGCGCGUAGGCGGCCUGUUAAGUCGGAUGUGAAAGCCCGGGGCUCAACCCCGGAACUGCAUCCGAGACUGGCAGGCUUGAGACCGGGAGAGGAGGGUGGAAUAUCCAGUGUAGAGGUGAAAUUCGUAGAUAUUGGAUGGAACACCGGUGGCGAAAGCGGCUCUCUGGCCCGGAUCUGACGCUGAGGCGCGAAAGCGUGGGGAGCAAACAGGAUUAGAGACCCCGGUAGUCCCUGUCUCUUAUAC
rnacentral:rRNA from 1 species